AAAUUCCAGCUCCUUUUAUGUGGCGGACUAAUCUGAUAAAGCUUCUCUGGCAGUCUUUCUUAAAGAUCCAACAACGCUGAUCAAAGUGAAGUUGAAGGGUGAACAAAAAUGUGUCAAACUCACUGACCUGAGGCUGAGUGACUUAUUGAAUGAAGGUACUGUAAGCUUUUAA